CAGUCGUGAGGAAGGUUAGUGUAGUUAAUAGCUGCAUUAUUUGACGUUAGCGACAGAAGAAGCACCGGCUAACUCCGUGCCAGCAGCCGCGGUAAUACGGAGGGUGCGAGCGUUAAUCGGAAUUACUGGGCGUAAAGCGCAUGCAGGUGGUUUGUUAAGUCAGAUGUGAAAGCCCGGGGCUCAACCUCGGAAUAGCAUUUGAAACUGGCAGACUAGAGUACUGUAGAGGGGGUAGAAUUUCAGGUGUAGCGGUGAAAUGCGUAGAGAUCUGAAGGAAUACCGGUGGCGAAGGCGGCCCCCUGGACAGAUACUGACACUCAGAUGCGAAAGCGUGGGGAGCAAACAGGAUUAGAUACCCUGGUAG
rnacentral:rRNA from 1 species